UACAGAGGUCCCAAGCGUUGUUCGGAUUCACUGGGCGUAAAGGGUGCGUAGGUGGUUGGGUAAGUCUGAUGUGAAAGCUCUGGGCUCAACCCAGAAAUGGCAUUGGAUACUAUCCGGCUAGAGGAAUGGAGGGGGGACUGGAAUACUUGGUGUAGCAGUGAAAUGCGUAGAUAUCAAGUGGAACACCAGUGGCGAAGGCGAGUCCCUGGACAUUUCCUGACACUGAGGCACGAAAGCUAGGGGAGCAAACAGG
rnacentral:rRNA from 1 species